GAUGAACGCUGGCGGCGUGCUUAACACAUGCAAGUCGAACGGAAAGGCCCAAGCUUGCUUGGGUACUCGAGUGGCGAACGGGUGAGUAACACGUGGGUGAUCUGCCCUGCACUUCGGGAUAAGCCUGGGAAACUGGGUCUAAUACCGGAUAGGACCACAUUUUGGAUGGUGUGGUGGAAAGUUUUGCGGUGUGGGAUGAGCUCGCGGCCUAUCAGCUUGUUGGUGGGGUAAUGGCCUACCAAGGCGUCGACGGGUAGCCGGCCUGAGAGGGUGUACGGCCACAUUGGGACUAAGAUACGGCCCGGACUCCUAGGGGAGGCAGCAGUGGGGAAUAUUGCACAAUGGGCGCAAGCCUGAUGCAGCGACGCCGCGUGGGGGAUGACGGCCUUCGGGUUGUAAACUCCUUUCGCUAGGGACGAAGCGCAAGUGACGGUACCUGGAGAAGAAGCACCGGCUAACUACGUG
rnacentral:rRNA from 1 species